UGAUGUCCUGGUACCUCAGUGGCUACCACACUGGCUUCUACAUGGGUGUCCGUGAGGGCCGGGCCGCGGUGGCCGGUGGCUG